GUACACUCCUACGGGAGGCAGCAGUGGGGAAUUUUGGACAAUGGGCGAAAGCCUGAUCCAGCAAUGCCGCGUGAGUGAAGAAGGCCUUCGGGUUGUAAAGCUCUUUUGUCAGGGAAGAAACGGUGAGAGCUAAUAUCUUUUGCUAAUGACGGUACCUGAAGAAUAAGCACCGGCUAACUACGUGCCAGCAGCCGCGGUAAUACGUAGGGUGCAAGCGUUAAUCGGAAUUACUGGGCGUAAAGCGUGCGCAGGCGGUUUUGUAAGUCUGAUGUGAAAUCCCUGGGCUCAACCUGGGAAUUGCAUUGGAGACUGCAAGGCUAGAAUCUGGCAGAGGGGGGUAGAAUUCCACGUGUAGCAGUGAAAUGCGUAGAUAUGUGGAGGAACACCGAUGGCGAAGGCAGCCCCCUGGGUCAAGAUUGACGCUCAUGCACGAAAGCGUGGGGAGCAAACAGGAUUAGAUACCCUGGUAGUCCCA
rnacentral:rRNA from 1 species